rnacentral:rRNA from 1 species
AAUACUCCCGCCGGCGACCGGCGCACGGGUGAGUAACACGUAUGAAACCUGCCCGUAGCAGGGGGAUAAGCGGAAGAAAUUCCGUCUAGUACCGCGUAACAACCCGAGGAGGCAUCUCCUCGGGUUUAAAGGAAGCGAUUCCGGCUACGGAUGGUCAUGCGUCGCAUUAGCUAGUUGGCGGGGUAACGGCCCACCAAGGCGACGAUGCGUAGGGGUUCUGAGAGGAAGGUCCCCCACACUGGUACUGAGACACGGACCAGACUCCUACGGGAGGCAGCAG